AUCAGUUAUAAUUUACUUCAUUGUAUACUCUUACUUGGAUAACCGUAGUAAUUCUAGAGCUAAUACAUGCGAAAAAGCGGAACUGCGGCAACGUAGAACCGUUGUGUUUGUUAGAUACAAAAUCAAUGCAGCCUUACGGCUGGUUUUUUGAUGAUUCAUAACAACUAAACGAAGCGCAGGCCUAGAGCCGGCGCUGAUAGAAACAAGUUUCUGCCCUAUCAACUUUCGAUGGUAGUAUAGGGGACUACCAUGGUCGUAACGGGUAACGGGGAAUUAGGGUUCUAUUCCGGAGGGGGAGCCUGAGAAACGGCUACCACUUCCAAGGAAGGCAGCAGGCGCGCAAAUUACCCAAUGGCAAUUCGCCGAGGUAGUGACAAGAAAUACCAUUGGUUGACACUACGUGUGAACUAUUUGGAAUGAGAACAAUUUAAACACCUUAACGAGGAACAAAUGGAGGGCAAGUCUGGUGCCAGCAGCCGCGGUAAUUCCAGCUCCAUCAGUGUAUAUUAACGUUGUUGCGGUUAAAAAGCUCGUAGUUGGAUUUCGGAGUGCGAAGGUCAAGACCCAUCAAAUUGGUGUGGUCCGACAGUCGCCUCCUAGCUUAGGGUAACAGCCCCUCUUCCUUUACGGGUUGGGGUGUGCCGUUCCCUAUCUUUUACUUUGAUAAAAUCAGAGUGUUCAAAGCAGGCGUCACUUGCCUUGAAUGUUGCCGCAAGGGAUAAUAGAAUAUGACUUUGGUCUUAUUUUGUUGGUUUCUAGGGCUGAAGUAAUGACUAAUAGGGACAGUUGGGGGCGCUCGUAUUGAGUUGUCAGAGGUGAAAUUCUAGGAUUUACUCAAGACGAACUACUGCGAAAGCAUUCGCCAAGGAUGUUUUCAUUAAUCAAGAACGAAAGUUGGGGGAUCGAAGAUGAUCAGAUACCGUUGUAGUCUCAACCAUAAACUAUGUGGACCAACGAUCCGAGGAAGUUACAUGGAUGACUCUCCGGGCAGUUUGUGAGAAAUCAUAAGUAUUUGCAUUCCGGGGGGAGUAUGGUCGCAAGGCUGAAACUUAAAGGAAUUGACGGAAGGGCACCACCAGGAGUGGAACCUGCGGCUUAAUUUGACCCAACACGGGGAAACUUACCAGGUCCGGACACAGUUAGGAUUGACAGAUUGAGAGCUCUUUCUUGAUUCUGUGGGUGGUGGUGCAUGGCCGUUUUUAGUUGGUGGAGUGAUUUGUCUGGUUAAUUCCGUUAACGAACGAGACCUUAACCUAUUAAUUAGUUAUGCGAACUUGGACUUCGGUC
rnacentral:rRNA from 1 species